UCCUCUCAUUCUCCAAAACUCCAACAUCCGAAUUCAAAUUCCAAUACUUUCUUACUACCUCCAUCCCUUUUUCCUAUUUUUGCAGUUAUAUCAUAUAUUAAAAUUGAAAAUUCAUAGAAACGUAAGAAGAUAUUAAUACCUUAAAGUAGCGGGAUGAGCCAUGUGCUAAUUACUUCCAUGUUCCGGUCCAAGCUGCUGUUGUUUUUGCUAACCUGUUUACUCAAUUUGAAUAUUUACAAAUGUAAAAAAAACUAACAAGUUAACUAAGUAGUACCUCAUUCCCCAUUGGAACAAAAUAAUUUUAAAUUGGGCAAGCUUGCCAACAAUCAGUAUAACCACCUGUAAAAAUAUUCCUAAAAGUUAAUUAACUCGCAUCAAUACUAUAUCAUUCAGUCAAAGCACUAAAGGAAAAAAAUCUAAUUUUAAUAAUAAUACCUAUGGUGCAAAAAAUUCUCCAUGCUUCCAAAUAUUAGCCAUUGAAUUAAUUCCAGCCAAUCGAAUCUCUAUCUGCUUCCAAUCUUCUGCUUAUAUUAACUGUGAAUUGUACACAUUUCAAAAUUUUCAAUUAACCUCUCCCUCGAUCAUUG
rnacentral:lncRNA from 1 species